rnacentral:lncRNA from 10 species
GCAGUCCCUAGGACUGGGUCUAGUAGGAGGCGGUGGAGCGGCCGUGCUGGGGUCGACGGGGUACUUUGGACUACAGAGCCGCUCCACUGGCUCUUCCGGCGUUCCCGGACGCCGCUGACGCACCUGAUUCUCGCGACCUGCAGGAGAAGCCUCGGCCGGGGCGAGGGCCGAGGUCGUGACGGGCAUGACCGUCUCUCUGCUUGGUUAGGGUUAGUGUCCCGCCGGGCACAUCACCCUAUGAAUGGAGCCACUGAGAUAGACUGGGCUGAGGAGAACCGGUUGGAAUAAUGAGCCAUGGCAGCAACUGCCUGAGAGAGAGGACCGGCGGGUUGCUGUAGGGCUCCCUAACCGGACUGCCUGUCAGAAACCUGCACAGCUUGGUUUCUGUUCUUUGUGUCCCAAAUCUGACUCGGGUCACCAGUUAAGACCCGUGUCAGACUUCUGACCUACAGACUUGCGUCGUUUUAAGCCAGUAAAUUUGUGGUAAUUUGUUACAGUAGCAAUAGGAAAAUAAUACAGGUGAGGACUAAGAAUCCUAAUCACAAAUCUUUUUUUUUUUUUGAGACAUGGUCUGACUGUCACCCAGGCUGGCGCGAUCUCAGGCUCAAGUGGUCCUCCCACCUCAGUCUCCUGGAAAGCUAAGACUACAGGCACGCACCACCACGUCCAGUUAGCGUGUAUGUAUGUAUGUACGUACGUGUGUGUGUGUGUGUAUGUGUAUAUAUGUAACUCCUCCUCCCCUCCCCCCUCCCCUUCUCUUCUUUUCUUUCUAGAUGGGGUUUCGCCACGUUGCCCAGGACGGUUUUGAACUCCUGGGGCCAAGCGAUCUGCCUUCCUCGGCCUCCCAAAGUGCUGGGAUUGCAGGUGCGAGCCACUGCUCCUGGCCCAUAAGUCUUUCAGUGUAGAAGAGGGAAGCAGAAGAGGUCAAAGUGGUGCCAUGUGAGAGCUCAACCCACCCUUGCUGGAGGAAGGGAGCCAGAGCCAAGCUGGAAAAGGUGGAUAAAGGACUGUGUGGGGAAAGUACCAAAUAAAUGAGGUAAAAAGGAAGGGUCAUACAAAGAGGGCACUACACCAGCUUCUUGGCCUCAAAGAAGCUCUUGAGGUGACGCAUCUGCCAGAUGCCAGUGAGGAUGAGGAUGACAGUCUGAGCAAUGGACCACCAUAGGACCCUCUGGUUGGUGCUCUCGCUCGUCAGUCGGAAGCGCUCUUCACGAUACUGUGUGGGGCAACACAGGGUUAAGUGAGCAGGAGAAACAGUCUGGCUGUUGUGAGGUCCCUCCCUGCGUGUAAUUACUCAACUCCAGGACCAAACUCCUUUUGGAAUACUAUCUGUGACUCCAUUAGGAGUGCUAUGGUCUCCCCACUGAGGCUGCCCCAAGAAAGGGACAGGCUGUCCCUCCACAAGCAUCUCUGUUAGGACUGAAAUCAUGAUCCUACCAUUUCCAACAAGAGUCCAAGAAAAACAGGUAGGCAAUGGCUAUUACUAGAUUGUGAACUGUCCUUUCUUCAUUUUAUUUUAUAGAGCUUAAAAAUGACUACUGAAAGCGAAAUGUGGCACAUGCAUACAAUGGAAUAUUAGCCUUAAGAAAUUCUGACACAUGCUAUAACAUGGAUGAACUGUGAGAACAUUAUACUCAGUGAAAUAAGCCAGUCACAAAAGGACAAAUACUGAAUGAUUCCACUUAUAUGAGAUAGGGUAGUCAGGAUCAUAGAGACAGAAAGUAGAAUGGUGGGUGUCAGGACAAAAGGAAACGGGAAGUUAUUGUUUAUAAUAAGUACAGAUUUGCUGGGUGCAGUGGCUCACGCCUGUAAUCCCAACACUUUGGGAGGCUGCGGCAGUGGAUUGCCUGAGGCCAGGAGUUCAAGACCAGCCUGGCCAACAUGGUGAAACCCAGUCUCUACUAAAAACACAAAAAUGAGCCACGCAUGGUGGCACUUGCCUGUAAUCCCAGCUACUUGGGAGGCUGAGGCAGGAGAAUCGCUUGAACCUGGGAGGCGGAGGGUGCAGUGAGCCGAGAUGGCGCCACUGCGCUCCAGCCUGGGCAACAGAGCGAGACUCCAUCUCAAAAACAAAACAAAAUAAGUACAGAUUUUUAGUUUGAGAAGAUGAAAAAGUUCUGGAGCUGGAUGAUGGUGUUGGUAGCACAACAUUAUGAAGGCACUUAAUACCACUGAACUAUAUAGACAGUUAAAAUGACACAUUUGGUGUUAUAUUUUACCACAAUAAAAUGUUUUGAUAAAAAAGCAAAACAGGCAGGGCGCGGUAGCUCACACCUGUAAUCCCAGCACUUUGGGAGGCUGAGGCGGGCGGAUCACUUGAUGUCGGGAGUUCGAGACCAGCCUGACCAACGUGGAGAAACCCCCGUCUCUACUAAAAGUACAAAAUUAGCCAGGCAUGGUGGCGCAUGCCUGUAAUCCCAGCUACUCAGGAGGCUGAGGCAGGAGAAUCGCUUGAACCUGGGGAGGCGGAGGUUGCAGUGAGC